rnacentral:rRNA from 1 species
AUUGAACGCUGGCGGCAGGCCUAACACAUGCAAGUCGAACGAGUGGCGGACGGGUGAGUAAUGUCUGGGAAACUGCCCGAUGGAGGGGGAUAACUACUGGAAACGGUAGCUAAUACCGCAUACCAUCAGAUGUGCCCAGAUGGGAUUAGCUUGUAGGUGAGGUAACGGCUCACCUAGGCGACGAUCCCUAGCUGGUCUGAGAGGAUGACCAGCCACAAGGUAACUGAGACACGGUCCAGAAUCAGACGGGAGGCAGCAGUGGGGAAUAUUGCACAAUGGGCGCAAGCCUGAUGCAGCCAUGCCGCGUGUACGAAGAAGGCCUUCUGGUUGUAAAGCACUUUCAGCGGGGAGGCGUUACCCGCAGAAGAAGCACCGGAUAACUCCGUGCCAGCAGCCGCGGUAAUUC